rnacentral:rRNA from 1 species
AUGUCAAAUCAUCAUGCCCUUUAUGUCCUGGGCUACACACGUACUACAAUGGCUGUUACAGAGAGAAGCGAAGCAGAGAUGUUAAGCGAAACUAGAAAGACAGUCACAGUUCGGAUUGUAGGCUGAAAUUCGCCUACAUGAAGCCGGAAUUGCUAGUAAUUGCAGGUCAGCAUACUGCAGUGAAUACGUUCCCGGGCCUU